ncrna:unclassified sequences c-di-GMP-II-GAG riboswitch
AGGGGCUUGGGUGGUCCCGCCAGCGCGGCGUCCCAACACGGUCGCCAUUCCGGCGCGCUGGGCCAAUGGCGAGACCGACCCUAUCCGUG